rnacentral:lncRNA from 1 species
AAAACGACAGCACACAAACAGGGCAUCAAAGCUUGUAAGUCUGAUAAAAUCUUCCGUAAAACACGGACCCUUACUAAGUGGCAAUAGCCAAUAGGAGCCUAAGUUUUAGUUUCCUCAAAAAUAGUAAUAGUAAUAGUAAUGAUAAUGAUAACACGUGCUUGAUUAUUAAUAGCAAAACAAAAGGGUCAUAAUGGCUGGCUUUGCGAAGUGAAGAAGCAAAUUAAACGGACAAAAGUGUCCAUAAUCAUCAAGAAAAGAACAUCACCGGAUCACCCAUUUGUGCUUCGUAACGUGUAAUGUUGUCGGUUGUAUGAAAAAUAUCUGAAUGACUGAAUCCGCGCUCCGCAAAGUGUUUGAUAUUGGCGUGGUCUGGUGGGAAUAUAAAGGCAGCAAGCUUUUGCCUCUUGGGAUACUUGGAGGGAUGAAGAAUUA